GAUGAACGCUGGCUACAGGCUUAACACAUGCAAGUCGAGGGGAAACGACGGGGAAGCUUGCUUCCCCGGGCGUCGACCGGCGCACGGGUGAGUAACGCGUAUCCAACCUGCCUCUGACUGAGGGAUAACCCGUCGAAAGUCGGCCUAAUACCUCAUGGCAUCGUCUGCGGGCAUCCAACGACGAUUAAAGAUUUCAUCGGUCAGGGAUGGGGAUGCGUCUGAUUAGCUUGUUGGCGGGGUAACGGCCCACCAAGGCUACGAUCAGUAGGGGUUCUGAGAGGAAGGUCCCCCACAUUGGAACUGAGACACGGUCCAAACUCCUACGGGAGGCAGCAGUGAGGAAUAUUGGUCAAUGGGCGGGAGCCUGAACCAGCCAAGAAGCGUGCAGGAUGACGGCCCUAUGGGUUGUAAACUGCUUUUAUGCGGGGAUAAAGUGAGGGACGUGUCCUUCAUUGCAGGUACCGCAUGAAUAAGGACCGGCUAAUUCCGUG
rnacentral:rRNA from 1 species